rnacentral:rRNA from 1 species
GGAGAGUUUGAUCCUGGCUCAGGACGAACGCUGGCGGCGUGCCUAAUACAUGCAAGUGGGACGCAAGGGAACACACUGUGCUUGCACACCGUGUUUUCUUGAGUCGCGAACGGGUGAGUAACGCGUAGGUAACCUGCCUAUUAGCGGGGGAUAACUAUUGGAAACGAUAGCUAAUACCGCAUAAUAUUAAUUAUUGCAUGAUAAUUGAUUGAAAGAUGCAAGCGCAUCACUAGUAGAUGGACCUGCGUUGUAUUAGCUAGUUGGUAAGGUAAGAGCUUACCAAGGCGACGAUACAUAGCCGACCUGAGAAGGUGAUCGGCCACACUGGGACUGAGACACGGCCCAGACUCCUACGGGAGGCAGCAGUAGGGAAUCUUCGGCAAUGGACGAAAGUCUGACCGAGCAACGCCGCGUGAGUGAAGAAGGUUUUCGGAUCGUAAAGCUCUGUUGUAAGUCAAGAACGUGUGUGAGAGUGGAAAGUUCACACAGUGACGGUAGCUUACCAGAAAGGGACGGCUAACUACGUGCCAGCAGCCGCGGUAAUACGUAGGUCCCGAGCGUUGUCCGGAUUUAUUGGGCGUAAAGGGAGCGCAGGCGGUCAGGAAAGUCUGGAGUAAAAGGCUAUGGCUCAACCAUAGUGUGCUCUGGAAACUGUCUGACUUGAGUGCAGAAGGGGAGAGUGGAAUUCCAUGUGUAGCGGUGAAAUGCGUAGAUAUAUGGAGGAACACCAGUGGCGAAAGCGGCUCUCUGGUCUGUCACUGACGCUGAGGCUCGAAAGCGUGGGUAGCGAACAGGAUUAGAUACCCUGGUAGUCCACGCCGUAAACGAUGAGUGCUAGGUGUUAGGCCCUUUCCGGGGCUUAGUGCCGGAGCUAACGCAAUAAGCACUCCGCCUGGGGAGUACGACCGCAAGGUUGAAACUCAAAGGAAUUGACGGGGGCCCGCACAAGCGGUGGAGCAUGUGGUUUAAUUCGAAGCAACGCGAAGAACCUUACCAGGUCUUGACAUCCCGAUGCUAUUCUUAGAGAUAGGAAGUUACUUCGGUACAUCGGAGACAGGUGGUGCAUGGUUGUCGUCAGCUCGUGUCGUGAGAUGUUGGGUUAAGUCCCGCAACGAGCGCAACCCUUAUUGUUAGUUGCCAUCAUUAAGUUGGGCACUCUAGCGAGACUGCCGGUAAUAAACCGGAGGAAGGUGGGGAUGA